AUUGAACGCUGYGUCGGCGUGCCUAACACAUGCAAGUCGAGCGGUAACAGGUGUAGCAAUACAUGCUGACGAGCGGCGAACGGGUGAGUAAUGCUUUGGAAUCUUCCCAGUAGUGGGGAAUAACCAGUCGAAAGAUUGGCUAAUACCGCAUACGUCUGUAAAGGGAAAGCGGGGGACUCGUAAGAACCUCGCGCUAUUGGAUGAGCCAAAGUCGGAUUAGCUAGUUGGUGGGGUAAUGGCCUACCAAGGCGACAAUCCGUAGCUGGUCUGAGAGGACGACCAGCCACACCGGAACUGAGACACGGUCCGGACUCCUACGGGAGGCAGCAGUGGGGAAUAUUGGACAAUGGGGGAAACCCUGAUCCAGCGACGCCGCGUGUGUGAAGAAGGCCUGCGGGUUGUAAAGCACUUUUAGUGGGGACAAAAAGCUACGGAUUAAUACUCUGUGGUCUUGAUUUAACCCAAAGAAAAAGCACCGGCUAACUCUGUGCCAGCAGCCGCGGUAAUACAGAGGGUGCGAGCGUUAAUCGGAAUUACUGGGCGUAAAGCGCGCGUAGACGGUUUUGUAAGUCAGAUGUGAAAUCCCUGGGCUCAACCUGRGAACUGCAUUUGAUACUGCAUGGCUAGAGUAUCGAAGAGGGAAGUGGAAUUUCCGGUGUAGCGGUGAAAUGCGUAUAUAUCGGAGGGACACCAGUGGCGAAGCGACUUCCWGGUCGAAUACUGACGUUCAUGUGCGAAAGCGUGMRGAGCAAACAK
rnacentral:rRNA from 1 species